rnacentral:sRNA from 1 species
UGUAUACAGAGGGCUGGCAAGUUGACUCAGCUAGUAAGCGUGCUCACUGGCAAGCCUGAGGACAUGAAUCUAAUCCCAGAACCCCGCAAGGUAGAAGAGAGCCGAUUUCCGUAUUCACCACCCACCGGUUAGAACCAGCUGCAGAUUCUUGACCAUGCAGGAGUAUGUCAGCAAAGGAUCAAGAGUGCGGAAGCUGAGUAACAGGGAGCCAAGAGCCAAGUGUCCUGACAGAAAACAGCAAACAGCCCUGCUACCUUAGAAAAGCAAGAGACUCGGUCACUGCAGCAUACCUGGACAUGCACAGAAGACAGUUGGAAAUGCUGAGAACUUUUGGCAUGAAGAAUUAUCCAAGGAAAAUUCUUUGAGGGAAAUCUCAUCCAUUA